GGAGGCGUCUGAGUGCCUGGUGGGCUCCCCGGUCUUCAAAACCGGUGAAGGGGCGAAAGCUCCUUGGCGGGUUCGAUUCCCGUCCGCCUCCGC
rnacentral:tRNA from 1 species